rnacentral:rRNA from 1 species
UACGUAGGUGGCAAGCGUUGUCCGGAUUUACUGGGCGUAAAGAGCGCGCAGGCGGUCGUUCAAGUCGCGUGUGAAAGCCCCCCGGCUCAACUGGGGAGGGUCACGCGAUACUGAUCGACUCGAAGGCAGGAGAGGGUAGUGGAAUUCCCGGUGUAGUGGUGAAAUGCGUAGAUAAUCGGGAGGAACACCAGUGGCGAAGGCGACUACCUGGCCUGUUCUUGACGCUGAGGCGCGAAAGCUAGGGGAGCAAACGGGG